GGCGCUGUAGCCAAGGGGUAAGGCGUGGGUCUGCAACACCCUGACCACCGGUUCAAAUCCGGUCGGCGCCU
rnacentral:tRNA from 2 species